CGGCGACGGGGCUGCGCUCCUGCACCGCCUCGGCGGCACUGUGGGCUCGGGAGGAGGAGGAGGAAAAAGAUGAGGGAGGGAGGGGGAGAGAGAGAGAGAGAGAGAGGCAGGCGGAGGGAGAGAGGCAGGAGAACGAGCCCUGCGCGGCAGCGCGGCCAACUUUCCUUCUGCGGCGCAGCAGGAACAGCCUCCCGUCCCUCGGUGUGUAACCCCCGCCCCGGCGUAAUGACGAGCACACUGGGCUGCAUCCCACGGCAUUGAGGGGUGUUCCCUGCUUUCCUAAUAAUCCUGCGUAAUAGGGGCUGUGAAAAUAAAGAGGAGUUCAGAUUUCCAGUUCCAGUCUCCUGCUGCACCUCCCAUGCUAAGGACACAAACCUACUGCUCCUCAGGAUGCCUGACAAGAGCCUGCAGACCUGUUAAGGCAUGGAGACACUGACAGGACCUGCCCUCAGUGUUGUCUACCCAGACAGACCAUGGAAAAUGGCUGGACAUGACAGGAGAAGGUCCUGAACAUGAGAGAGAGCAAGAGUGAGAAGCUGGUGAAAAUUGGAUAUAGCUCCAUGAGGAACAAUCAGAUUUCCCUGGUGGGGAGGAGAAAGCUACUGAUAUGAAAGCUUGUGGAAGGGCAAAGGUGAGGAGACAGGUGAGAAGGAUAGGACAUGGUGGUUUGUAAGCAGUGUAGCUGAGGAGAAAUGGCUCGAAUACUGCACAACAUUGCACUAGAUCCACUAAAAGAAUUAAUCCAUCUGGCUGAAAAAUACCUAGCUGCCAGGAAUCCUCAUUGAAUUAACUGAUUGAAUUGCAGAGGGGAACAUAAAUUUAUCUUUCUUAUUAAUUUCCCUUUGCUUACCUGUCUUUUAUAUAUGAUGAGUGAGGGUUCUUUUCACAUGGAGUACCUGUUAAAGAGAGAGGACAGGUUUUACCCAAAGCAGAUGUCCUAACAAAUAACCCUAGAGGUACUCUGGAGAUUCUCUGCAUGUCCUGUGUGAUGCAGAAAGCCUAGGAGCUUCUGUUCCUAGUGCCUUAGCUCCCAAGAUGGCAUCCUGCUCUGACUAUGGAGAUGUUUUGAGGCAGACAUGCUCCACUUGUCAUAACUUAGCCAGAACUUCCAGGCUCAGAGCGCCGGGAUCUGUACAGGAAAGUUCCUCAGAAGCCUCAAAGACCCCUAUGAUUCCAGGGGGAAAAAAAGGCAUGAUCUUGGUAAAAAAAGCAGAUUCUUGUCUCUUGCCUUCCUGUUCAUGAGAAGAGGUCUGGAUGCCAAACUCCUUUUCCUUUUCACCUUACUCAUCAGUGUCCCAAAAAAACAGACCUCUUUUUCCUUACAACAAUGAGGGGAUCACCUACAGCUUGUUCUCUGCUGGUCUCUUUGCAUAUUACAAUAUAUAUUUGUGUAUAUAUAGCAGCAUUUUGAGAUCCCUUCUCAGAAAGGAGAUCUAUAGUGGAAAAGGAAGAUAUUUUCCAUGUAAAGCAAAGGUAGACAGGGACAUGUCGGGGCUCUGGUGUUCAAGAAAAGUCUCCCAGCUGAAAUCAGCGAAGAGUUGUGCUUCCAAAUUAAUUGCAUGCUUCUGUCCUUAGCAUCUGGGCAUGGAAUCAAAACUGAUGAGCCAACAAAGCAGCACUGGGCUGCUCCUUCGAGCAGUCACCAUCAAUAACGAGAAAUACUAGGAGAAGUACUCUUUGAAAUUCAAAUCACAGGGAGCAUCAUUUAAAAGGGAACUCAGGAGGAGCAGAAAUACCAUGCACCAUACAUUAAUUGUCAUGCAUGUGACAAAAUCUUCAGCGUUGCUGUUACUUAGCAGCAUUAAAUUUAUUCCCAGGUUAUUAAUACCAUACCAGGGAUGAAGUAAUUAAACUGGCAGCCCAUUUCCUCCGAACUGGAGGCCAGGCCUUCAGCUGGUGUAAAUCAGAACAGCUACACUGCAGUGACUUGGUUUUACAACCAGUUGGGAAACAGAGCCAUUUAUUCUAAAAAGGGAGAGCUGAAAAAGAACUCGAACCCUUCAUCACUUCAUGUUGUCCCUUCUCCCCCAGAGUGAGGGUAAGCAAGCAGGGCUAAAGUCACUGCUCACCUGGAACCGCUCCCAGAGCACACUGCAAACAAUCUGCUCCCAGCAGAUUUAACAGAUUAAAUUUGGAAGGUUAAAUAUUUAGUAACAUGCUAGUGAUUUCUUCCAAAUGGAUACACCCUGUAUGCUAUUCCUUUUAUACCCAAACCUACCAGAAAUACUCACAGAUCUGUUUUGACAGAAAUUAAUUGGGUAGGAAAAGAGCUGAUUUAGAGUUCAUCACCCUGUCCUCCCCUUUCAAGCCCUCCAGCUUUUUGCCUUCCUGGCCACGUUUGGAUACAUUCCUUCAGUCUGACCCAAGUUCUUAAGCUUCUGUGGCAUCCCAAACUGCCAGAGGUACUAGACAUACAUCAUCUUACUGUGUGGUUGCAAAAAAUGUGUGCAUGUUCUACAGCCAUCUCUUCCAGAUGAACUGGUUUUGCCUUUUUUUUUUUUUUUUUUUCAUUUCUUAGGUAGAGUUUUAUACCCUUCUUUAGUCAAGGCUGAGUUUUGCAGGCACCAUCUGGCCCUGAAUUAAAAAUGGCAAAUUUUUCCAUUAAAAUUGCUUUUCAGCAGAAAUUCUUUGAGGUUUUGGGGGGGGUUGUGGUUUUGUUCUCUCUUUGUUUUCAGCAGGUGUUUGUUCUCAUUGAGAACUUUGGCUUCCAAAAUGAAAAUUUAACCUUUCUCCUCAAUGUUUAGGUGUUGCAACUCCUCACUUUUUCAUUUAUGGAAAACUGCAGUGUGUAAGGGCAUAUAUUGUUUUGGGGCAUAUUUUUGGAAGAUAUAUCACAACUUCUGAUUAAGAACCCUCCAUAUUUCACAGCUCUUUCCACAUUCCACAUGGAGCUAUCCAGUUAAAGAUACUUUGGAUGAAUAACCCAAUACUUUUGAAGUCCAAAUAUCUGUAUUUUUGGUACUAGAUCAUUGCCAAUCUUCUUCUUUCUUCUCCUACUGACAAAAUGACACUAUGUUACACCAGUUUUUAUUGGUGUCUUGGAAAUUUUUCUUUGCUUGGUUAGUACAGAUUCUCUCUUUCACAAUGCCUUGUCUCCAUUUUAAAUGCCUCUUACCUGCAAGCAAUUAGUCUGCCAGCUUUAUCCACCUCUUGUAAUCUACCUAUUCUAUAAAUUACUGGAAUCACUGGGACAGAAACCCUCCUCUUUCUUACAUUUCUGUGUAAUGCUUACAGGGGAGGCAGAGAGAAUCUAAGCUUUGGGAUUUACAGCAGUCACUGCUUCAUAAUUAAUGAAUGAUAAUGAUACUGAAAAGGUGGCUUUUCCCUCUUUUUUCAGUCCAAAAAUCUCCUUUCCUCCAGGGAAAUGCAGCACAGGGUCCCAUAGGGAAAUUUUCUCCUGAUCACCAAGAGGAAAACUUAGAGCAAAUUAUGCUGAGCAUAUAAAAUGCAGAAAUGAGUCCAGGCUGCUUAAGACAGUUGACAAGGCAAAGCUACUGGAUCCAAAUUGUUAUGUCCAGCACAUUCUAACCUCAGAGGUGGUCAGUCAAAGCUUUUUGUGAUACUCCUAUCACCUCAAACUAUUUCCAACUACAACACACCUACAGAGAAGGCAAGGAAGAAGACAUUCGCAUUUUAUGUAAAACAGCUUCAGCUGGGGUGAAUUGGCAUGGCUGAUGUGGUUAGACUGCUCUUCAUGAGAAAGAAACCCUAAGGAUCCUAUGACCCAUGAUCCUAUCCUAACUCUACUUUUUGAAAAGUAUAAAACAUAUGAACAGUAGGCUUUACACUUAACGAAAACAGAAGUGUGCCCAUAUUCUCUUUUUUUCCUAUGCCAAAAGACUUGGAUGCAGACUGCAGAGACUGACUUCAGGUACUUUAGUAAUGGUUUAAGCUUGGUCCAUCUUUCUUCUCUGUCUGAACAUAUCUUCUCUCAUCAUUAUCAUUGCUUCAUAUUUUUGUGGAGGAAGCUAAGGAAGUUCAGUGGAAUAAUUGUCUGGGAUGCACUGAAACCCAAAUGUCUCAUUUUUAGGGCCAGUUAAACAGGUGGGAUGAGAAAGUAUUCAAGCAUCUUGGAAAGAUCCUGAGGAAAUUGUUGUCUUCCAUCCCUGAAAUCUGAACCUCCAAGGAAAAUGUUCACUGCAAAGGCAAAUUUAAAGAAUGCUGAGGCACUUUGAUGGCGUGUGUGCCUUGGCCUUUCUCCUCCCACCACUGCUUUGCUGCUGGAGAGUGUUAUGCCUUGGCUUCUUCAAACACAGAUUUUCCAAGUGUCUGAAGUAUCAGCUGGAGUAUUCUCCUAAAGUCACUCCCUAACACUCCUGCCUGGGUAGGACACAGUACUUCUCCCAUUGAAGGAUCAUGAGUUUCUCUAAUUCCCUUGGACUUGAGGGUCUGCAGUUUGCUCCAAUGACCCUUGAGCAUAGUUUUGCUCCAAAUGUACUCAUUGGGGAAGACUAUUGUGUUCAUCUCCAGCCUUAUCCAGUUGGUCCUCUGGCAUUUCAGUGUUAAAGCAAACUUCACCAAGGGAGGGCAGAUUUCUUCAGAGCUUUAUAGUUCCUAAGGAAGAGCAAAAAUCACUUCAGUGAAAGCACAGGCUUGAUGUGUCUGGAGAGGCUUUGGAGGAGCCUCCAGGCCAGCUGAGAUGCUGCUGGUGGACAUCAGAUCUAAAGGCAUUGCUCCAGGAAUUAAUCUGGCCCCUGAGCAGACUGUAGGAUGCUGGCACCAGCCCUCUCCAGGCUGGGAGAUGGUUUCCACUGGGACACCGAGAGCUGUAGCUCCCAGCUGACCCUAUAUCUGGGCCCAGCAAGAAAUGCAGGGCCUCAGAGAAGCAGCAGCUACAGCACUGUAACCACAGUCACAGCAUUUUGUCAGAGUCCAACCAAAAGGUGAAGGACCAGCCAUUACAGCCAGCAGCAUGGGCCAGCAUCUCAGCUGCAAUGGAUGACAGAGUCUGUCAGUCAGCCCUUGGGGUACAGCUGCUUGCUCUUCCCAGCACACUGCCAGAAGUGCCCUGGCCAGACAGAGACUUUGGCAGCCCUCAGCCCUUUGCACAGCUGCAAGGAGGAAACAACAGAGCUUUCCCAGCCCCUGCAGCAGCCUGCAUCACCCUCUGUGCAUUUCUUUUAGGUUUCUAGUCACAGAUCCCAUCAGAGCUAUGGAGAAACCUGGAGCUGCUGCGGGCAGUGGAAGUUUUGCUCUUGACCCGCCCAUCCACCUUUUGUCAUUACUGGUCUGUUUGUACCCUGGGAAGAAAAACUUCAAAGAACAACUGUUUCCAGCUGGUGGUGUGAGAUUCCAUUAAUGUGUGCUGUGCUGGAGUUUGAAGCUCCCUGGCACACUUUAAAUUUCUAAUUGGCUGUUAUCUCUAAGGGGAACCUGACUGGGCAGCUGCAAUCUGAUGGCACUACCAUCAGGGAGACGAGGAAGGGCCAACGCUGCCUCUUGGUGAGAGAGUUUUGACUGUUUAGGAGAUGAUGAGAAGAAUGGGGAGGCUUCUUAAACUUUUCUCAGUAGCUCAUUUCAGUAAUUGAGACUGGUGCUAGCUGCAUGCUUAAGCAGACCAUCAAUCUCAGCUCUGUAUGCCACCAAAUCUCUGGAAAAAGGGGAGAAGAUGGGCUAGGCUGGAAUAAUAAAUCUGCCCUAAUCAUCAUGUUAAGGGCUAUCUUCAUGAGACUGGUGUUAUAAAUCUGGUUAUAAAGAAGAAACUAAAUAAGGAGCAUUGGGGGGAGUCUUAUCCAUGUCAGGAAGUAUUUUCUGAGUUGUCUCAGUAUGAGGCUAAAUGUAUCUGUUGAAACAUUUUAGUAGGCAGGAAAGUCAUUUUUUGACAAGAUGAAAAUUUUCCCACCCCAUUUGUGUUACUCUUUUAUUUUUACUUCAUAUACUGUAUUGGGCAAUAAAGAUUUUCAGUCAAUUUA